rnacentral:rRNA from 1 species
AACGAACGCUGGCGGCAUGCCUAACACAUGCAAGUCGAACGAGACCUUCGGGUCUAGUGGCGCACGGGUGCGUAACGCGUGGGAACCUGCCCUUAGGUUCGGAAUAACUCAGAGAAAUUUGAGCUAAUACCGGAUAAUGUCUUCGGACCAAAGAUUUAUCGCCUUUGGAUGGGCCCGCGUAGGAUUAGCCUGUUGGUGGGGUAAUGGCCUACCAAGGCGACGAUCCUUAGCUGGUCUGAGAGGAUGAUCAGCCACACUGGGACUGAGACACGGCCCAGACUCCUACGGGAGGCAGCAGUGGGGAAUAUUGGACAAUGGGCGAAAGCCUGAUCCAGCAAUGCCGCGUGAGUGAUGAAGGCCUUAGGGUUGUAAAGCUCUUUUACCAGGGAUGAUAAUGACAGUACCUGGAGAAUAAGCUCCGGCUAACUCCGUG